rnacentral:rRNA from 1 species
UACGAAGGGGGCUAGCGUUGCUCGGAAUCACUGGGCGUAAAGCGCACGUAGGCGGCUUACUAAGUCAGGGGUGAAAUCCUGGAGCUCAACUCCAGAACUGCCUUUGAUACUGGUGAGCUUGAGUCCGGAAGAGGUGAGUGGAACUGCGAGUGUAGAGGUGAAAUUCGCAGAUAUUCGCAAGAACACCAGUGGCGAAGGCGGCUCACUGGUCCGGUACUGACGCUGAGGUGCGAAAGCGUGGGGAGCAAACAGG